UACCAGCUCUUCGAGUGGUAGGGAUGAUUAUUGGGCUUAGAGCGUCCGUAGCCGGCUUAGCAAGUCUCCCGUUAAAUUCAGCGACCUAAUCGUUGAGCCGCGGGAGAUACUACUAGGCUAGGAGGCGGGAGAGGUCAACGGUACUUCCGGGGUAGGGGUGAAAUCCUAUAAUCCCGGGAGGACCACCAGUGGCGAAGGCUGUUGACUAGAACGCGCUCGACGGUGAGGGACGAAAGCUGGGGGAGCGAACCGGAUUAGAUACCCGGGUAGUCCCAGCUGUAAACGAUGCGAGCUAGGUGUUGGGGUGGCUACGUGCCACUUCAGUGCCGCAGGGAAGCCAUUAAGCUCGCCGCCUGGGGAGUACGGCCGCAAGGCUGAAACUUAAAGGAAUUGGCGGGGGAGCACCACAAGGCGUGAAGCUUGCGGUUC
rnacentral:rRNA from 1 species